AAACCAAACCCAAAACCUAAAAGAACCAGAAACGGCGCCCAUGUAUAGUUCAUCUUCUCCCUCGUCCAAACCCAGCCCUAACUCACCUGAAAUGAGUUCACUCACACACGAGUCCCAUCUCUCCACAUCACUUUAAUCCUAACGAAUUUCUGACAAAACAAGAAUAUUCCCUCCGAAUUUGCAUGAUAGUUUUCAUUCUGGAACGAUUUGUUGGAUGAAUGGGAGCCGUGGAUGGAUGAAAAUCAAUCCACGCCUUCCAUUUAUCCCUAAAAUUAUUUACAAACAGAUUGGAUUUUCAGAUUUUAGAGGGAGCUUCGAGAAGAUCUGAGGGUCUAUAUAAGGUGAGGAUUUUUUCUUGUGUGAGGGGAUUCUAGAGUUUUUUUUCGGAGACAAAUUUUUCGGAAAUUUUGGGAGAGGUAAAAAGUUCUAGGGUUCUUUGAGUUUUCUUUGAGAUUUUCAUGUUUGGUUUGCAUUUUCAGAAAAACAAAAAUACAAAAAUAGUUUGAGUUUGAUUUUGUUCGAGUUUUGUUUCAUUUCAAAGAAAAUCAGAAACUUACCAAAAAUUUCAGCACUUUUUGUUUUUCUUGAUUUCUGCUUCUCAAGAAUGGGGUCUGAUUGAGUGAAGUCCUUUGUUUCAUUUUCGAAAUUUUGGUUGAAAAAUGGAGUUCAACUGAAGUUUUGGGGAGUUUGGUUGACCAAGUCCUGCUACUGGUUCGCUGUUCCUUAAGUUCGAAUUGCUGUUGUUUUCUUGUUGAAAUUUCGAAGUCAAAGUAUUGUAGUCGACUUUCACUUCUAUUAUCAAAAGAAAUGUUCGAUUUCAGGUUCAUCUCUUUACUCCCUCUUAACUUGUUCUGGCAUUGAUCGAGAUGUGCUGAUAGCUGAGACUUUGUUAGAUUGGGAAUGGUUAUGAGCUGGUUUAUGUGAAACCUGAUGCAAUUUUUGUCGUGAAUUCUAUUGUUUUCAUUGGUUUUGGGCACAUCUUCUUUACUCUAUUUGUUCUGUGUGUUACUGAUUCUUUCUUUCAAGUAGUUUAAUUAAUUCGAGACGUAAAUAUGUAGUGCAACAUUGUGUUAGGAUUUGGAAGAAACAUAAUUAAGGUUUCGUCGUCACCAUUCUAAUUUAUCGCCUUAGUUAAGUCCUUCAGCAAAAAUGGACAGCUUCAGGUUUGGUUAUGGAUUCAGUCCGUCAUUUGAAGUCUUCUGUUUGGAAAUUAACUUCUGGAUCUCUACUAUGCUUCUUUGAAAACUAUGUCCUUUUAGCCUUAAAUUGGGUUCAACUAUGGUUUGAAGUCGAUACAACGUUUCAGUUAACUGAUUGCCUGGGAGUAAAAUGAUUUCCCAUGGGUCAAGCUGUAUAGUUUUAUGCUCUGCUGCAUCUCCAGCCCAGUUCUAUUCUUAUUUUGUCUGGUAUAGAUUGUCAGCAUUAUAACUCCACCUUUGAAACACUAUAACUCAAGCUGUCUAGCUCAUUAAGCCUGUCGACGUUAAUAAGACGCGGUUUUUCCUUGAAAGCAACUAGCUCUACUACUGAUUUUGAUUAAAGUAAUUUGACAUUUUCAUCUACUACAUCAUUUGAACUUUCGUUAUUAUUGUUGUAACCUCAUAAGGUGAUUGCUUUCUUUUGGAGAUUCUCUUGCACUACUGUUGAACGAUUCUCCCGCACUGUUGAAUCUAGCGAAUAGGACCAUUGCGAACAAUAACAAGAAGAAAUCCAGCCCCACUUCAUUCUUCCCAUUUUCUUAACUUCAGUUUUUUAUAUAAUUUUGACCUUCUAUUUUUCCCAAACGGUCUACAUUUUAACCUUCAGUUGUAUUUCCUUUUCAUGUGGGGAUUGGGUAACACUUUUAAAAACUGGACGAUUUAGUCGUUGUUAUUGUAUUAUUUCAUAUGCAGUUCUAUCUUCAAUCAAUUUUGAUACGUUAGUGCUUCCUUGACCCCUAAAAGGUUUUUUGAGUUUGGACCUUGAACUGAAUUGAUGGACGAUAUUAAUUGCAUGGUAAAAGAAUGCAGAUGCAUCCAUGUUGGUUUAUUUGAAUAAGUUUACAUUUUCUUAAUAUAAUCUCACAUGGAUUUUGUCUUAAGGAUAUGUUGGCUUUCUCAUCUGACUGUCAAAUGUAACAUCUUUACUUAUUUGCACGGAUUAUUGACUAAUAAUGCUGAUGAUUUGUUACUGUUAAUAGAAUGUGGAGUUUUAAUUGACGAUGGAAGAGAGACAUUGAGUCAUUAAUUUGGCCUGAACAAGCUAAUCGGCCAAUGUUGUCUUUUAUUAAUUGAUUUUCGCUAAAUAUAAUUCCAAAUAGAAGGAAGUUUUUAAGCGCUAGCUGCUUUAGGCGUGAUAAAUAAUAAAAUUAUCAUAACUACGGGUACGGUUUCCGUGACGUAGUUGUGAUACUUAACCUCUAAUUAGUUUUAAAUAUGAAUAUCUGUAGUUCUUUUAAUUGAAUGCAAUUCAUUUGGAAGAAAUUGAGGCGUGCGAUUCAUACAUUUGAAUCAUAUAAUCUAUGGCCUCAUAUUGAUCACCUUAACUAAUGUAGAAAAAUGUCCUGAACUCUCGUAGUUUGCUUUAAGCAUGUUAAUUAAAUAAACUGUCAUAGCUGCGGGUGCGGUUCCCGUGACGCAGUUGUGAUGCUUAAUUUCUAAAAUUCGGGGGUUGACCCAGCCACAAUUUAAUCUUGUUAAAUAAAUAAACACGUUGUGGAUUGUGGGUACGGUUCCCGUGACAUGAUUCGUAACGUGUAAUCAAAUAAUUAGUUGUAUAACAAUCUGAUUAUUAAAAGCUAUUUUAAAAGGGAUAAAAUGGACACAGUGUUUUAAAAUCAGAUAAAUAAGUCAAUAAUAAUAGUUGAGCGACCGUGCUAAAACCAUAGAACUCGGGAAUGCCUAACACCUUCUCCUGCGGUAACAGAAAUCCUUAACCAGAUUUUUGUGUUCGCGGACUGUAAAACAAAGUCAAACUUUCCUCGAUUCAGGAUUUUAAACCGGAGACUUGGGAUACCAAUAAACUAUCCCAAGUGGCGAUUCAGAAUUCAAUAUAAAUAAUCUUGUUUCGAUUGUCACUUAAAUUGGAAAUAACUCCCUUAUAUACCCUUCCGGGGGGUAGAAAUAAGAGGUGUGACAGCUCUAGUGACUCUGUUGGGGAACGAACCCAGAAUCUCUGGUUCAGGGUUCAAGAAUUCGAGCUUAGAAUAAUUGUUAUAUUUGGCUUUUAUUUAUUAUCUAGUUUUAUUACAUGUUUGGGCCUAAUAUGCUAAAUGCUGCUUUUUACCGCUUUGAUACUAUUUGAACUGUAUAUAAACUGUUACGAAACCCUUCUUUUCUCAUCUUCGGGGAUGUGCACGUUGGCACGACUCCUUUUCUGUUAGUGUCAUACCUUAAAUUAGGAAGAGGCUCAGACAAGUUACAAAGCCGGAUGGCCUGUUGGUUCCCAGUACGUACCCCCCUCCCCCGGCUCGAGUUGUCCGCUCAGACGCACAAGUCUAGAACAAUAUACCCAGGUUUUGAACUUAGAAUAACUCAGCAUCAUGCUAGAUCCCUAGUAGGAAUGCUUGUUUGCAUCAUAUGCAUUUGACUUUGGGGACUCAACACAGGGGUUGGGUCCGUCUAGGACAGGCGUCACCGAAAAUAAAAGACCAACCUGAUGCAUUCUUUAUGUGCUACCUGUCCAUUUAAUUUAUUUCGGACUGCAUGUUGACCGGCUUCUAGAUUAAGUGAGGAAAACCAAAAAAAAGAAGAAAAACCUAGUGCGGAGUAUGAGAGAGAAUUUCAUCCAUUGCACAAAAUCCGGUACCCAAAACAUCCCGAAACUCUGCCAAAACUUUUUGAAAAACGAGAGAGAGAAAAAGAGUAGAAAAAUCAUCUCAAAGUGUUUAUAUUUUUCAGUUGUGUCAACACUGGCCGAACUACGCGUGUUUGAUUCUCACCGGACGUGGGAUACGUAGGAAACCUUCAUCAGGUCCAGCCUCGGUUUUUGAAAAAUUUUGAAAAAAAAUAUAUGAAGUGUCGUCAUUCUUGUCGUAAAUAAGUGGGUGAUGCAAUUUUCUCUAAAUAGCCGAAUGUCCCAGCAAGAUGCCGGAAGGCUGCUUUGCAAAAAUAGCCACUGGCAGUUUCUUUGUUAAUUUUGGCCAUUAGCGAACACAGCCCUAAGAACUUCCAUUCCGAAAUAAUGAAAGGCCGUAUUUGCAAAAGUAGCCCUGAUUUAUUUUAUUUUUUGCAAAAAUAAGCCUUUUGUCAGUUUUCAAAUAAGAUUCACUUUAUCUUUAAGCCAAUUGCCUUAAUCUAAAUGUGCAGAAUGAGCACAAGUAAAAAUUUACUAAUGAAGGUCAUGUCCAAGAUUCCGUUGGAUCGACUCAUGUGAUGGGAAGAUUUGGGUAUAAAAGGACGAGAUGUGGUCAACCUUUAUUUGGGAGGGCUCACCGGAUUGCUGAAGAUCAGGCCUAAAGGAGACAUAAUAAGGGCACUUGUAACAUUUUGGGACCCAGCUCACAACGUCCUACAUUUCUCAGAUUUUGAACUCACACACACCUUGGAAAAGAUAGCGGGUUAUGUGGGAAGUACUGAAGGUCUAAAGCAUAAGUUCCUGGUUUCUCUAAGGGCCGUUACCCCUCACAAGUUCCUAGAUUUGCUAAAAAUAAGUAGGGGGUCUAGUAUGCAGACUUGGCGGUUGGUUUUUCCACUCUACGCUUCAUAUACGAGAGGUACGGGCAUGUAGGAGGAUUUGAUAACCCGGAAAGUGGGAUUUGUAACAAAGGGAACCAAGCGAAAUGGGAUGAGCAUAGGCAUUUCGCUUUCAUGGUAGCUUUCUUAUAUCUCGUGGUGUUUCCCCGGAAGGAUGGGAACAUUGAUCUGCGGGUAGCUGGAGUCGUCAAUGUUUUGAUUACCAACGCCAAGAGCACUCUCGCCCCUAUGAUAGUGUUUGAGAUAUACCGAGCUCUCACGGCUUGUAAAGCUGGGUUAAAUUUUUUCGUGGGGUGCAAUUUGCUACUAAAAAUAUGGAUAAUUGAGUAUCUGUUUCACCGCCCUCAAUAUAUGAAUUACGAAUCCAUGGAGAAAAGUUGCAUUGAAAAAUUCGACACAAGGAUAUCAAGGUUCAAAUUGCCAGAAGGGUUUGGAGAUUGGGUAUCCCGCCUUCGCUCCAUAACUGCGGGCCAAAUAGAGUGGACACUGGGUUGGCUUCCUGUUGAAAAAAUUGUGUAUAUGCCUGCCACCGGUCCUUACCUCCUCCUAAUGGUCUUCGAAGCAUUUAGCCUUACGCUAAAUACCAGGUGAUGAGACAGCUGGGAAGAUGCUAGGUGACACACCCAGAUGAAGAUCUUAGUGUUUAUGCGGUCGAAGUCAGCUCCGACGGCCAAUUUCAUGAAGAAAUAGUUCGUCAUAUUUGGAACGAGUGCUAGUAUUUGACAGCAAACACUCGAGUGCAUGAGCUAUCUAAAGGCGAGGUCUCACCCGCCUAUCUUGCUUGGUAUAAAAAUAAGAACACUACAAGGGCCAAACCUGAAAGACCAACCAAAAGGCCCCACAUCUAGGAAUUUGUUGAAGCGUCGCAGGAACAAUGGGCUUGGUUGGCCAAAGAGAAUGAGUACAGGGCCACAAUAGACAAAUUGGAAAAACAAGUCAGGGAUCUUCAAUUUAGAAUGGUUUGCAAGCCGUUGCGGUUGAGGUGAAAAGAAAAGGUUAGCCAAAGAAAAUGAUGCCCUUCGAGCCCAAAUUCGGGAAAUGAAAAUAACAGCCGAGAACCCCGCCAGAAGUGCAAAAGAUGAAAAGCUUAUAGAUAACCUUAGACGGAAAGUGGGUGAAUAUGGUUUUGAUCUUAAAAAGACCGAGCGCAAACUGACAAAGGUUCGAACAAAAUUGGCGAAGAAUGCGGAGGAACGAGCACGCUUUGUUCGACAGUUAAAAGGAAAAUAUGACAAUGGAAUCAUGGGGUUCAAGAAAAAGAUCAUCGUCCUUGAGAACAAAAUGACCAAGUAGGCAAGAGAUUUCAAAGCAGAAAGAGAACACUACUAUUCCCUGAUGUUGCAGCUAGAAAAAGACCAACAACAACUUCAAGAGUAGAAUCAUACAGCCGAACAAGUUUUGGGGGCUAGAUCUCAGCAGAUCGGAUGGUUGCUACAAGAGAAGGGUAUUAUCAGGGAAAGGGCUAGGAGGAUUGCGGACUACAUUGUGAUGAAGUGCAAUGAAUGUGAAGACAUGACCAGGUCUAUGUUCUUCGCUUCCGUUAUGAUUUUUGUCCGGCAGAUUAUGGAUAACCUAUUUUGCCUCCAAGAAGAUAUGGUCCGUAGGCCCGCGGGACCCUGGAGUAGCAGUUGAGGCACUCAUGUAUUUCUGAUUCUAUUGUUCGAGUCUGUAUUUUCAGUUUCUGUUGGAGUUCAUUAGUCUACUUUCGAGUCUAUAUUUUCAUUUUUCUUUUGGAGUCUGUUAGUCCACUUUCAAUUCUGUUAGUUUUUAUGAUUAAUUCUGUAGGAGGAGUCCUUGUAAUCAGGAUGUUUUGUUUUUAUUUUAUUUUGUGAAAAUUUGAAAACCCAAAAAAUGUAUUCUUCUUUUAUUUUACUCUUAUCCCCUAAACUACGUAAUGAUCUGAUUCAUGCGGUGUCAUGAUACGUAGGUAAUUCCCAUAGGAUUCGAUCAUAACCAUAAAAUGAAAAAGAAAAAAAAGAGAGAAAAUAAGAGAGAAAGAAAAUAAAGAAAAUCGAGUGGAAAGAAAUAAUGGCAAAACAAGAGAGAAAAUGAGUCCAAAAUAAAAGGGAGGCGACAAAACAAGUGAAAAAGGGCAAUAGUGAUUAAAGAGGGUGUGGAGUGAAAAGAGAAAAGAGAGAGAAGAGAAAGCGCAAAAUACGAAGAGUUUGUUAAAAGCUGGGAUGAAGCAUGCAGCCGUUCAAAUGCACGAUAGAAGCUUUAACUGUCUAGGUGCAUUGCAUCCCAAAUGUGCAGUUGUCUAUCUGUUAAAUCUUUAACACUGACAAGUUCACUGUUGUCAUUGAGCAAAGGAAGUUGGUUAGUUUAUGUGGAAUUCUAGCAACUCACCUGUACAAUACCAGGUCCAAAGACAAGUUGAUUAUGACUGGCCAAGAAUUGGAUGCAAGCAUUAUUGAUCCACUGAGGGAGGUGGAGGAAACUGAAUCCGGUCUGAAAGAGGAGUUGCAUAAGUUGAAACACCAAAUGGCAGAGAUGUACCAGGCACGGAUGAAAGGGCAUCCCCCACCAUCAUACCCCGCCAACCCUGUCUUCAUCCCACCGCUAUCUCAGUCCCAAGAACCUCUCGCUAUAGAAUCAUCCCCACAACAUGCGCCAGGCUUCACCCCUUACCACCACUAUCAUGGCACCACUUUCCAAACCAUACAAGCUCCACCAACCAAAACAACCCCAUACCCUCCUCCACUAGCUACCCCUAUUUUCGUAGCACCUCCACCAACUACACUCUAUCGAUCUUCCAGUGAACCAUUAUUCCAGACCCAAGAUAAUCAGUACUAUCCCCCAGAUCCUACUUUCAAGGCCCCAAAUCAUUACACAUACACUCCUCGUUUCGACCUCCUUGUUGAGACUCAGAAACCACCUAAAAACUCGGAAUAGGAGGAGAUGUUUAGAAAGGUGAGAAGCUUGGAACAAUCGCUCAGAAACAUGCAAGGGUUAGGGGGUCAAGUAAGUGUAGCCUACAAAGUUCUAUGUUUGUUCCCUGAUGUACAACUACCGGUUGGGUUCAAAAUGCCCACAUGUGACUUGUAUGACAGACACGGAGACCCAGUGUCCCACUUAAGAGGAUUCUAGAGUAAAAUGAGAGGAGCCAGUGGGAAAGAUGAGUUGUUAAUGGCAUACUUUAGCCAGAGUCUGAGUCGUGCGGUAUUGGAGUGGUACAUUCGUUAGGAUCACAGCAGAUGGUAUACCUGGGAUGAUUUGGCCCAAGCAUUUGCUCGUCAUUUCCAAUACAACAUCGAGAUUGUUCCAGAUCAUUUGUCUUUGACUAAGAUUGUGAAGAAGCCUAGUGAAAGUUUCAGGGAAUACAGUUUCCGCUGGAGAGAACAAUCAGCAAGGGUUAACCCUCCAAUGGAGGAGAACGAAAUGGUGGAAUACUUUUUUCAGGCCUUGGAGCCUACUUACUUUGGUCAUCUGAUCUCGGCCAUAUGUAAGUCUUUCAACGAAGUAGUAAAAAUGGGAGGAAUGGCAUAGGAAGGGCUCAAAUCAAGCAAGAUCAUGAACUACUCUGCCAUCAAAGCAACUACGCAUACAAUCCAGAAUGGCACCGGAGGCGUGCUUGGGAAAAAGAAGAAAGAGGAUGUCGCUAUGGUCGUUUCAGGAUCAUGGCACGGACCAGGGGAUUCUCCAAGAUUCCUCAACUCCAUAUAGUUCACCCUGACACUACUUCCCAUCACCAGAGCCUCAAUACUCAAUCAGGCCACCCCAAUAUCAUAUCAAUCAUGCACAUUCAUAUGCUCAACCCCCUCCUCACCCGCAGUGACGUGCACCAGCCCCACGAAACCCUUACCCACCACCACAAACAUACUAAAACCCCACUGGUCCAAAUUUUCGAGCCAAGCCAGAAUUCAGGAAUGAAAGGUUGCAGCAAAAGAAAACCUUCACCCCGCUUGGGGAAUCUUAUACCAGCUUAUUUCAAAGAUUGAGACAGUUAGAUAGUCUGAGGCCAAUUGAGUGAAAACUACCAAACCCCCCUUCAAAGAACCUAAACUAUUCUCUUAGAUGUGCGUACUGUUCUGAUACUCCGAGGCACGACAUAGAAAAUUGUUGUCACUUGAAGAACGCUAUCUAAGAGCUGAUUGAUACGAACCAGAUUGUGGUAUAAAGCAUAGAAACACCCAACACCAUCAAAACCCAUUGCCGACCUAUGCUGAGACGCACAUGAUUGAGAUAGUUCACAAAGAUGGGAAGCCCAAGAAGCCUUCACAAUGUAUCAUGAUCAUCUAGUCUAGUGAAAGUAAGUCAGUCAAGGACUCGGUUGUCACAAAAGUAACAUCUUUGAUAGCUGAAGGAUCAGUGGACAACUUGAGCAUGCCAAAUGAUAAGCUAGUUGUGGUAGUUGAAAAGAGUUCCCCAAGUGAUGUUGUAGCAAAGCAAGAAAAACCAAAGGUGAUCGUGCAGGGGGUCUCAAGUAAACCAGUCAUAAUUGUGGAGGGUGCUCGCACAGACCCUAUCAUUAUUAAACCUGUGACCCAGCUGUCGAUAGCUGACACCAAGACUGUCCCAUGGAACUAUGAGCAAGUGAUAGUAAACUAUAAGGGGAAAGAAGUGAAAGAUGAAGUUAACAAGGGCCAGGGAUUAAUCAUUCCGGGAGAUGCUUUGCCCCGAAAGAGUUAAGAAAAGCUAAAACACUCAGAGACAAUCCAGUUAUAGUGAAGAAACUGGUCACUGAAGAAGAAGCGAAGGAGUUUUUGAGAAAAAUGAAGGUACAAGAUUACUCCAUCAUAGAACAGUUGAGAAAGACUCCUGCUCAGAUUUCCCUGUUAUCAUUGUUGAUCCAUUCAGUUGAACAUCGCUGGGCCCUGAUGAAGAUUUUGAACGAAGCUCAUGUCCCCGACAAAAUCACUGUAAACCAUCUGGAGAAGAUUGCCAAUAAGAUAUUUGAGUCUAACCAGAUCACAUUCUCUGAUGAUGAUUUGCCUCUAGAGGUUACUGAACACAAUCAAACCCUCUAUCUCAUAGUGAAAUGCGAAGAGUCUGUGGUUACAAGGGUGUUAAUUGACAAUGGUUCCAGUGCAAACAUCUACCCUCUCUCUACUUUGAACAUGUUAAAAGUUGAUGAUGAAAGGAUUCACAAGAACAACAUAUGCGUCAGAGGUUUUGACGGCGGAGGAAAAGACUCUGUUGGUGACAUCAUGCUCAAGUUGACAAUAGGACCAGUCGAAUUCACCAUAGAGUUCAAGGUAUUGGAUGUGGCUAUUUCUUACAAUUUGCUAUUGGGUUGGCUGUUCCAGGUAUUACCCUAAGCCAGUCCCACAUCUCUCCAGGUAUUUCAUUAAGGCAGGGGUGGUGAAGCGUCCAAUGACAACAGUUCCAAGGCCGGUGGUUAAUUUUGAUGAGGAAUUGGUUAAAAGGUUCCAGAGUCUAUUUGAUGAAGUCAACAUGGUAGAAACUGGGGAAGGUUCUAGCAAAGUGGAUGUGCAGUUUGUUGGGCAAAAAGUGAAGAUUAACAAUUGGGAUGCCACUCAUCUCCCUACCUGGAUGGAGUUUUGGUAGUUUGAUUUAUUUUUCUUUCAGUUUAUCUAGAUUAUUCUAGGGUUGUAAUUUAGAUUUUAUUUUCCAUCUAUUUUGAUGUACAAACCCUUCUAUCCUUUAUUUUAAUGAAAUGCAAUUUCCCUUUUCCAUUACUCCUAAUAGUGUCAUUUUCUUUUCUUUCCUUGUACAGUUCCUUUUAUGCUGGUUUCAAUGACAUGACAUGCAUGAGGAAUCUUCAGUCAAGUAUUAAAAGCCAAUCUAACUCUGAAAUAAUAAUCUAAGAAAUAGAGUGUGAUGAUGAAAUGGAAUAUGAUGAGGAGGAAGCAUUUGAGGAAAUUACUAAAGAGCUAAGUCACUUCGAAGAGAAACCCAAGCCUAAUUUGAAUGAAACUGAAGCAAUCAAUUUAGGGGAUCUAGAUAAUAUCACGGAAACCAAGAUAAGUGUACACUUGGAACCACAAAUCAGGGAGGAAAUAAUCAAAGCAUUGUUUGAAUAUAAAGACAUUUUUGCAUGGUCAUAGGACAACAUGCCGGGUCGAAGCACUAAAUUGGUGGUUCACAAAUUGCCCACUGACCCAGCAUUCCCUCCCGUUAAGCAGAAGUUGAGAAAGUUCAAAACUGACAUGAGUGUGAAGAUCAAGGAGGAAAUCACAAAGUAGUUGAACGCAAAUGUCAUUCGAGUCAUGCGAUACCCCACUUGGUUAGCUAAUGUUGUGCCAGUGCCAAAGAAGGACGGUAAGACCAGGGUGUGCAUUGAUUACCGUGAUAUCAACAAAGCAAGCCCAAAGGAUAAUUUUCCAAUGCCAAAUAUCCAUAUCUUGAUUGACAACUUGCCAAACAUGAGAUCAGUUCUUUUGUGGAUUGCUAUGCGAGAUACCAUCAGAUCUUGAUGGAUGAGGAGGAUGCAGAAAAGACAACAUUGAUCAGAUCAUGUGGAACUUAUUGCUACCGAGGAAUGCUAUUUGGUUUGAAAAACACUGGGGAAACUUACAUGAGGGCGAUGACUACUAUGUUCCAUGAUAUAAUAUACAAGGAGAUUGAGGUUUAUGUGGAUGAUGUGAUCUUAAAGUCAAAGCAACAGGCCAACCAUGUCGCAGAUUUGAGGAAGUAUUUCCAAAGGCUCCACAGGUACAAUCUUAAGCUUAAGCCUUCCAAGUGUGCGUUUGGUGUUCCAUCUAGAAAAAUGUUGGGAUUCAUAUUUAGUCAUCGAGGCAUUGAGCUGGACCCGUCAAAGAUCAAAGCUAUCCAAUAAUUGCCACCUCUAAGGAACAAGACUGAGGUGAUAAGUCUGCUCGGGCGUUUGAACUACAUCAGUAGGUUUAUUGAUCAACUCACAACAACUUGUGAGCCCAUCUUUAAGUUGCUAAAGAAGGAUGUUGUGGUCAAAUGGACUGAUGAGUGCCAAGAGGCAUUUGAUAAAAUCAAGGGGUACUUGUCAAACCUACCUUUGUUGGUCCCACCGGAACCCGGGAGGCCUUUAAUUCUUUAUCUGACAGUCCUGGUCAAUUCGUUCGAUUGCGUGUUAGGUCAACAUGAUAUCACUGGUAGGAAGGAGCAAGCCAUCUAUUAUCUCAGCAAGAAGUUCACAUCAUAUGAGGUUAAGUAUACUCCCCUUGAAAGGACAUGUUGCGCCCUGACUUAGGUGGCACAAAAGUUGAAGCAUUAUCUGUUAUCCUACAUUACUUACCUCAUUUCUCGCCUAGAUCCUCUUAAGUAUAUCUUUCAGAAGCCUAUGCCCAUAGGAAGACUUGCAAAGUGGCAGAUUUUGCUCACAGAGUUCGACAUCAUCUAUAUGACUUGGACCACGAUGAAAGCCCAAGCAUUGGCUGAUUAUUUGGCCGAGAACCCGGUGGAUGAAGAGUAUGAACCAUUGAGGACUUAUUUUCCUAAUGAAGAGGUGAUGCAUAUUGACGAGGUGGAGCAGGAUGACAAGCCAGUUUGGAAACUUUUCGUUGAUGGAGCCGCUACCAUAAAAGAUGUCGAAAUAGGGGUCGUGCUUAUUUCUAAAAUAGGGCAUCACUACCAUGUUACGGCCCAACUUCGUUUCUAUUAUACCAACAAUAUGGUUGAGUACGAGGCAUGCAUUUUGGGAUUGAGGUUAGUUGUAGAUAUGGGAGUUCAAGAAGUUUUGGUCUUGGGAGACUCGGAUCUUUUGGUGCACCAGAUUCAAGGAGAAUGGGAGACUCAGGAUUUAAAGCUCAGACCGUAUUGAUAAUGUUUGCAUGAUCUUUGUCAACGGUUUUGAUCAAUAGAAUUCAGGCAUAUUCCAAGGAUCCAUAAUGAGGUCGCCGAUGCUUUGGAUACCUUUGCGUCAAUGUUGCAUCAUCCAAACAAAUCUUAUGUUGACCCUCUGCAUAUUCAAGUUCGUGAUCAGCAUGUCUACUGUAACGUGGUUGAGAAAAAACUUGAUGGCAAACUGUGGUUCCAUGAUAUCAGGGAAUACAUCAGGAUGGGUGUAUAUCCGGCACAAGCCACAAGGGAUCAAAAGAGAACAAUUUGACAUUUGGCUAGUGGAUUUUUCUUGAGCGGGGGAAUUUUGUACAAAAGAACUCCAGAUCUGGGGCUGUUGAGGUGCAUCAAUGCUAAGAAAUCCACGACUAUCAUGAUCGAGGUACAUUCCGGAGUUUGCGGGCCGCAUAUGAGCAUGUAUGUUCUGGCAAAGAAGAUUCUUCAAGCAGGGUAUUAUUGGCUCACAAUGGAACGAGAUUGCAUUUGCUUUGUGCACAAGUGUCAUCAAUGCUAGGUUACACGGACACUUGAUUCAUUCUCCACCAUCUGAGUUGUAUACAAUGUCCGCACUAUGGCCCUUUGUUGCUUGGGGAAUGGAUGUCAUUGGACCAAUUGAGCCCCCGGCAUCAAACGGGCACAGGUUUAUUCUGGUGGCCAUUGACUAUUUCACUAAGUGGGUUGAAGCUAAAACUUUCAAAUCUAUGACCAAGAAGGCAGUGGUCAAUUUUGUUCAUUCAAAUAUCUUUUGUCGGUUCGGAAUCCCAAAGGUAAUCAUCACAGACAAUGGUGCUAAUCUUAACAGUAAUUUGAUGAAAUAAGUAUGCCAACAGUUCAAGAUUACGCAUCGGAAUUCCACUCCGUAUCUCUCCAAGGCAAAUGGAGCUAUCGAAGCGACCAACAAGAACAUAAAGAAGAUACUUCGGAAAAUGUUUUAAGGUUCCAGACAAUGUCAUGAGAAGUUGCAUUUUGCUUUGUUAGGUUAUCGCACUACUGUUCGUACUUCAGUAGGUACAACUCCUUAUUUGUUGGUAUGCGCUACAGAAGUAGUGAUACCCACGGAAGUUGAAAUUCCAUCUCUUCGGAUUGUUGCUGAAGCUGAAAUUGAUGAUGAUGAAUGGGUCAAAACCCGUUUGGAACAAUUAAUUCUGAUUGAUGAGAAAAGACUGGUAGUAGUGUUUCAUGGCCAGUUGUAUCAAAAGAUAAUGGCAAGAGCAUACAACAAGAAGGUGCAUGCCCGAAAAUUUGAAGUGGGUCCGCAAGUAUUGAAACACAUCCUUCCACAUUAGGUUGAAGAUGUAACGACCCGAUCGGUCGUUUUGCUAUUUAGAACCCCGUUUCCCUAAAUAAAAUUUCACGCGCUUGCUUUAUCUAAUUUAUGACCUGUGGGGAUGGUUGGUUCGGGUUUUGGAAGAGUUUGGGUUGAAAUAGGCUCACUUGAUUCUCUAAGAUUUUCUUAAAAGGCUAAGUUUGACUUUGGUCAACAUUUUUAGCAAAUGGACCCGGAGGGUACGUAAGAAAAUAUGGGACCUGAUCUUAUGCCCGAAAUCGAAUUCUGAGGUCCCUAGCCCGAGUAAUGAAUUUUUAUUGGAAAUUGUUAAACUUAAAUUCUAAGGAUUUAAAGAAACUAAAUAAUGAUUGAUCACAUGGGAAUCAGACUCGUAUGUUGGUUCUAGAUCCCGGCACAGGUCCAAUAUAGCAUUUAAGACUUGCCCUCAAAAUUUGGUGUCAAUCCGAGUAGUUUAAGUGCGUUUUGGCUCGUUAGAGGAGAAUUAAGAACUUGAAGUUCAUAAGUUUGAUUCAAUUGGUUUUAGGGGGUGAUUCUUAGAUUUAGCGUUGUUUCGGGCGUUCGAAGGUUCGAACAGGUCCGUUUCAUGAUUUCAGACUUGUCGGUAUGUUCGGGCGGGGCCUAAGAGCCCCGAGCGUCAAUCGGACGAGGCACGAGUAAAGUUGGAAAAAUUGGAGAAGUGCUGAAGCUUCAGUUGCUAUCAUAACCGUACCUGCGGUUGGCCAGCCGUAGGUGCGAGACCGUAGAAGCGGUCCAUCUCAUGCAGAUGCGGCCAAGCCAGGCCAGGCCCAAAACCGCUGAAAUGGCUAUUCCUCCACAGAAGCGAAGCUGCAAAAGCGGAUGGUCACUCGCAGAUGCGGCCUAGCGGCCCAGGUGAAAUUCUGUAGAUGCGGUGGCUACUGGUACGGCCCAGGACCACAGAUGCGGAAAUCGCUAAAGCAGUGAGCUUCAUUUAAUAUGUGUUCUAAGUUGUUUUUUCCAUUUUCACUCCUCCAUUGGGCAAUUUUAGAACUUUUGAGAGAAAACUUCCACCUAGCAUCUUGAGGUAAGUUUAUCCCACCUAUUCCUAAUUUAAUACUUGUGUCUUAGGUAGAUUAAACACUAAGAUUAAGGUAACAUCAUGGGGUUAGAGCAAAACCUAGGGUUUUGAUAAAACUUUGAGUUUUCCAUGAAAAUUUGUUAUGAAGCAAAGUAGAAAUCAUAUAUUAUUGAUCCUUAGGUUACAAAGAACAACUUUAUUCAAAAAAAUUCGGAAUCCGGGCACGUGGGCCCGAGGUCGGAUUUUAGGAAACUUGUGUUUAAGGUUGGUAAAUUGCUUUAAUAGUUAGGAUGUGAUCUUAUGAGCUUGUAUUGACUAGUUCUUACCCCAUUUAACUAGUUUUGGAUCGUUCGGCUCCAAAUUGAGAGUUCGGAUUCGUUCUUGGUAUUGGAAGUGCACUUUGGAGUGAGGUGAGUCUCCUUUCUAACCUUGUAAGAGGGAAUUGUCCCCAUAGGAGUAAUAAUUGUAUAAUUUGCCACUAAAUGCGGGGGCUACGUACGCAUAAGGUGAUGAGAGUCCGUGAGUAGCUACUAUCAUGUUAAUUGUCUGGAUAGUUCAGGACCCGUAUCAUGCUAUAUUUGCAAAUGUUAUAUGUCUUCUUGAUAAUGUGAUCAUUUAGGAUAUGCUAGAUAAUUGGAAAUGAACAUAAGUGAGCAUAUGCUGUGUUGAACACUUGUAUGAGUUUAUUUAAAUAUAAAUGCACCUUCUUGUAUUUUUCUGUUGAUAAUUGAUAUUUGAUAUUUGUGGAUCGGACCGAUCACCUCGGUAUCAAUAGAUGUAUCUAUAGUUCGCGCCAUUCGACCCUCUAGGAGUGCACAGUUUCUUUUAUGUUGGAUCGGGUCGUCAACCUCGGCAUAAUGUUCGCAUGAUAUUUAUGUGAAUUAUCAUUGAUGACUUGCCUGAUAUGGUUUGAAAUGUAAAGGAUUAACUGUGAUAUUAAAAUGACUUGACUUAGAAAUCCUUAUUUCAACUGUUAUAUAAUUGUGACCAUCAUGCAUGGCAUAACAUCAUAUUAUAUUAUUUGACCCUAGUAGGUAUCAAGUCGACCUCUCGUCUCUACUUCUUCGAGAUUAGAUGGGAUACUUACUGGGUAUAUAUUGUUUAUGUACUCAUGCUAUGCUUAUGUACUUAAUUGUACAGGCUCUGAGGCAGAUAUAUCUAGCUAUCAGACCAGUGCGCAUGCCUGAUCAUAGUCUGAGACUCCCAGGGUGAGCUGCUUCCCUUCCUGUGCUGAUCGGUAGCUUGAUGGAGUCUUUCUUACUUUUGAUUGUCUAUUCUGUUUCAGACAGUAGGAUAGAUCUAUUAUUUUGUAUAUUCUACUAGUUACCCACACCUUGUGACACCAGAUCUUGGCAUACACAUUAAUAGACAGUUCUUUUGGGUUGUAUAACUAUUAUUGAAUAUUGCU
rnacentral:lncRNA from 1 species